rnacentral:rRNA from 1 species
UACGUAGGGCGCGAGCGUUAUCCGGAAUUAUUGGGCGUAAAGAGCUCGUAGGCGGUUUGUCACGUCUGCUGUGAAAACUGGAGGCUCAACCUCCAGCCUGCAGUGGGUACGGGCAAACUAGAGUGCGGUAGGGGAGAUUGGAAUUCCUGGUGUAGCGGUGGAAUGCGCAGAUAUCAGGAGGAACACCGAUGGCGAAGGCAGAUCUCUGGGCCGUAACUGACGCUGAGGAGCGAAAGCAUGGGGAGCGAACAGG